AUCACAUCAUGUUGAAACACUGGUUUCCAUAUGAUCAUCGAUGUUAAGCAAUGUCGAGCCUAGUCAGUACCUAGAUUGGUUACUGCUUGGGAAUACCAGUUGCUGUAAU